UUUUUAAAUUAUGUUUGUAAUUAUUGAUCAUUGACUUUAAAUUUUCUUAUAAAAACGGAUUCUGUAAGGGCAAAGUUCUUAAAGUAUGUGCGGCUUUCCAGACGCAUAAUGGGAUUUUUUGUUGCUUUUUUAUUUUUAAUAAGUGAAAGACAUUGAGCAUUAUUGCAUAAAUCAGUAAAUCCUUUGAAUUCUCUUAAUUAUAUUUUAAAUAUAAUUUUCAAGAAAUUUUGUACAAUGAAAGCCAUUUUAGAAUAAAUCGCUCAAAUUUCAUACGCAUAAAAUUUAGAAUUUAAAUUCAAUUUUCUCAUAUAAAUCCAAUCUACUUAUUGCAAAGAAAGGGAUAAUCUACAUAAAUUAUUGGAGACCAUUAACAUAAUAAAUCAUGCAAAUCGCAAGGAAUUCGAAUUUCAAUAAUGAAAAAGCGCCAGAUCGUCAGGAUGAGAAUUUCUAUACCAGACGAUUCGUCGUAGCUUGGAAAUCCACAUAAUUCUGCCUCGGAGGUCUUUAAUUAAGCGACGUUUAUUGUAAAUUACGCGCGGGCAGUUUUUUCCCUUUUAAUUCAUAUCAACAGGUGCAUGCAGCCGGAUAAUUUCGCUGCAUUAUCAUAAUCACUCAAAGCGUGAAGAGAAAGAGAGCCUCUCAUUAAUUGGAUCAAUUUGCUCACCGACGCACACAUUGAAUUCCAUUAGCUUGCUAAAUGCCUUUUGUCUUUCCGCACCCGAAUCUGCGCUGCCCAUUAAAAUUCAUCAAGCACUGGCCCUAGAGCGAAUAAAAGAUAUAAUACGUUUUUUUUAUUAUUAUUAUAUUUUCAAUUUUUAUCUCAAGGCUUUAGAAACGAAUUCCACCUCCGUACCACCCGCUGCACGCUGACCGCAAUGAUUUUUAUUUCAGACCUAUUUCUCACUUCCUUUCCUGUGCAGCAGCAGCCAACGCAAAAGCCGCUUCCUUUUCCUCAGCGGAGCUCUUAAUUAGCUAAAAAAUAAUAAAAACCGCUCGCUUGAUUGUGAUAUCUCUCUCCCGCACUCUGUAUGGGUUUUUUUAGUGCAGGCCGGUCGGAAGUAGUAGAGCUCUAUAUUUUGCCUCCUUGUGAUUAAGGUUUACGCGUUUACGAUUGAGAUUGACGCUGCUUAUCUGCGAUAAUGUGUGUAUAACCAAACAAACGUUUCCAUUGCAAGAGGGGAAAAGCGUGAAUUUGAUUUAACAGCAAUUCAUUUUCAUUAAUUAUCGCCACACUUAUUUUGAUCUUCUCAGAAAUGAUAAAAAAAAUCAAGGAUGUUUAUCUAAUUGUUUUUGUAAACAAUUUUAUAUUUGCUUCGAAAAUAGUAGCAGAUAUAAAAUAUUUAAUUUUUUUAUAAACCUUACGUUUGGCUGCAACUAUGCAAAUAAAUGGAAUUGGUUGCACAAACAUGGAAAUUUAUUCACGUAUUAUUGCCUGUAAUUAACAAGAAAGCCAUAUAAGAUCACAAAAACAAGCAAUUUGCGGAAUUCAAGGCACUCUGGUGCCGUUCCCACCAAUAUAUCGAAAAUUGGCGUUUCAUGACCCCCAAAUUGUGGGAGAUAAUGAUUCAAUAGAUCGCUUUGACAUGCAAAACAGAUAAAAGUUGCGAGUCGUAGGAGUUGGGAAAGGAGGCAAUAACAAUUAUAAAAAUAUGAGAAAAUUCCAAAGUGUCCUUAAGCGCGGCGGCACAGCAGGGAAAUAAACCAAUUUGGCCUGUGUCCCUUAGGCGGACCCUGUUCUGUGUUGUGUUUUCCUCUCCGACGGACAAUCGGUGUGAGCCGCUUUUGCUUCUUUCUAGUAAUUAGCAUAAAUCUGCCGCUGUUACACAUGCACACAUAAUCUGGGCAUGCAAUGGAAUUAUGAUUCAAUAUCUCGGCUGGCGAGAGAGUGAGUGAGUUUUAUUACCUGACCCGGCCUAAUAUAUCGGGCGGCAUGCAUGGGAAAAAUAUCAGUCAAACGGGUUCAGAAUCACGAUGCGAAAAAAAAUCCAGACGAGAGGAUGGGCGGCGCAUUUCUCCAACUUUUUUGCAUGAACUGCUGUAUAGAGGAAGGCCCUCCUAAAGGAUGAGUAUUAAGUAUUUACGGCUGUUUUCAUGCUCCGAAAUAUAAAUGUAUAUUUUCAAGAGCAGUGUAUCAAGAAUGAAUCGACUACACGGAUGAGAAGGAGGCUGGUUUUUCUUGUCUCGGAAACGAAUAUACGGCCAGAAUGGGCUUUCAAAUUUUUCCCACAACCUAAAUUAUCCAGAUGUUGGCUGGUGGCACAGAAUGUUUUAAAUAUAUAUGGAGCAAUUUUGUGUCCCAAUAAUUUACUAAAUUACCAAUUACCUGCAGGAUAUAGUAGGCAAUGUCAAAAACUGAUGUUUUAAUUGAAAAUUUGGAGUAAUUUACUUAAUUUUAAAUAGAGCACUGAGAUUUCCAAAUAAAUUAUUUU